AGAAUGAACGCUGGCGGCGUGCUUAACACAUGCAAGUCGAGCGAGGCCUGGGGGGCAACUCCCAGAGUCGAGCGGCGGACGGGUGAGUAACACGUGGGUAACCUGCCCGGAAGUGGGGAAUACCUCGGGGAAACUCGAGCUAAUACCGCAUGACAUCUUGGGACGAAAGUCCUGACGAUCAAAGCGGGGUCGCAAGAUCUCGCGCUACCGGAUGGGCCCGCGCCCGAUUAGCUAGUUGGUGAGGUAACGGCUCACCAAGGCUUCGAUC
rnacentral:rRNA from 1 species